GAAAAUGGCUCAGACGAGCCUACGUUGGUGUUUUCCUUAUUUAAUCAAACUAGAUGAAGAGAGUUGUUUAGCACAUAGACUCAACUAGAGUAAGUAAAGCCUUUAUUUAGCAGUAACCCACAGUAGACCACGGCCUUGAGGAGAUGAUGAUGGUGAAGGGUAUCUCUUACUGUUGCCCAGGAAAAUGACGGGCUCUUUGGAAACAAGCAAACUUGUCUUGUCAUCUGCCAUCUCCACGACCUGCUUGCCCUCCAUCUCACUAUUCCGAAUCCGAGGUGAAAAUCUCGAGGAAGCCUCCUCAACUGCACGAGCAACUCUAAGGAAAGUGUCCGCGACUGUCCACGUGAAGAAGGCCCGGUGCGCGGUGGUAAGGGGAGGCCAAACUUCGAAAAUAUUGAAAGCUUUAUUUUUUCGCUCCCGCUUUCUAUUCGCUCCCCUAAACAGCGAUAACUUCUCUAUGACCCCAAAGUGACACCGUUUCCAUUUUGUUUCUGAUUAAUCUUGCCCAUUGACAGUCUUUGUUAAACAACAAGGCGUGCCCUUCUCCAAAGAGGCGACAUUUUCAUAUUUGUUAGACGCAGUGACCUGAAGUUCACCCCGGACUUGGACUUCGGUUUUCGGGUCUACUCGACUCUGGGGAGAUAACGGUGCACUUAGUACGGGUCAGCACCCAACAGCGCCCCAAAAAUAAUAUAUAUAUAUUUUUUAAACAGUACAAAACCCACGUAAGUCCACCUUAAAAAGACUUACGUCGAUUGUGGCACUCCUGUGGCGAUGUUAGCCAACUGAAGGGACGUUUCAUUGUAUCCAUGUCAAGGUUUGAUUUAGAAGGAUAUACAUAUUUAUUCAAUUUGUAUCAUACUGUUAGGCUUAUGUUAUUGUUGCUCAUCUAGGCUCCUGCUUUUCCUGUUCAAAAAGGUCCUGCUCCGAGCUUUGUAUGUGUAAGACGGAAAUGAAAGCCAUCUCUAUGGGAUUUGUAUUUUUGUCAGAUAUAGGCCUAUGGCAUUAUACGCAUCUAAAUAGCCAAAGUUGACAGGUGUUAUAUUACGAUUUAAUGUAUUCUGCACCUGUAACUCAUCGUGAAUGACAAGGGGGGAUAUUUUAUUCUCAAGAUCUGGCCUCCAGAACGCAUGUAGCCAAGACCACCUGAGAGCCUAUCUAUCAGCAUAAUAUCCAAGGUAAGAAUACUUGACUUGAUAUCUAAAUCACAUUCACCCACCCACCACUUAUGCUGCUGCCAUAUGGUGUAUUAUUAUUGUUAUUUAUCCUGCUACCAGUCACUUUCUCCUGAUCCCUGCCUACAUGUAAGCUACAUAUCUACCUCAACUACUUCAGUAUCCCUGCACAUUGUAAAUGUGGUACUAACACUGACCCUGAAUAUAGCUGACAUUCUCAACAACAACAAAAAUUCUGUCUCAUAUUUCUUAUUUCUCUUCUUUUUUUUUAUAGUACUUUGAUAUUAAAUAUUGCAUUGUUGGGAAGGGCUAGCAAUUUAACCAUUUCACUGUACUUGUGCAUGUGACAAAUAAAUAUGAAACAUGAAAUGUACAGUCAGUGUGUUAUAUAUAUAUAAAUAUGGGCAGGGUUGGCUGUUAUCCACUCUCUAGCCAUACAGUAGCCUACCCUGAAUGAGACACCGGCUAAGUCGGCGAUGCUUUACAGCUAUUUACAGUUGAUUGCGUUUAAUACACUGCUUUUUUCAUUUAACAGGCACUUACUAUAGUCAUGUUUCAUUUAACAUCUUGAGAUGGGAAAACGUGUUCAUUCUGAAGUUCAACAUGUUUUUUUUAUGACCUAAUGUUAAACUUAGGUGAAAUCACAAGUUUUCUUUUGCCACUUCUCAAACGUGAUGAUCUAAUAAACUUUUCAGCGACUUAAAUAUGCUAUUUAAACAACCACAUUCAGUGUUUUACGAUUUUAGAUGGAAAUUGUGAAAUAUGAUAAAUUGACUUUCACAAUAUCAAAAAUAGAAGCAUUAAUAUAUAUGGGAGUGGUACCAAUCUUAAUUUUGCAAUGUGGCUUAGGCUAUGGCAACGUUUCUGUAACAAUUAUUCUAAAUUAAACUCGUCCAAGGCAUCUAAAUUAAUUAGCAAAGAGAGCAAAAAGUCUAGUUAUAAGUAGGAAAAAUCUGGCCAACUAUUCCAUUCAUUUGCUAAGGUAAUGUGUGAGAAACAAGUGUAUUGCCACUCCUUCGGUCCUUCCCAAAUAUAACGAAUAUAAUAUAUAUAUAUCAAACUGACCCAGUGCUGUAAAUGUAGACAGUAAGAAAAGUGUUCUGAUGAUAGUGACUGAACACACAUGGCAGCUACAAGGCCCCUUGUCUGUUAGGAGGACCAGGCUGCAGAGGAAAAUAUUCACUAGGUGGUUAAGGUAAGGGUGCAAAUUAUUGUUGCAAAUAUAAGGAUUUUAAUCAUGCCACAUGUUGUGAGUUUUGUAUAACAUAACGAUAUAUCGAUAUGUUUGCUCAAACAGGAAGGCCACCAACAGAGCUCCUUGCACGUUCAGUACACCUUAAGAGGAAGAUGGGUGGGUGAAAUAGUGUAUUACUUUGAACAUGUUGUUUAAGUUGUCGUCUUAAAAAUAGGACAUAAAUCAAAGCAAAAGCAACUGCAUCAAGCGAGUGUUUUAUGGAGAUUUUAGUGAUACACAAACGUUUCGAACAACAAGGCCUUAGUUAGGUCUGUGUUAUCAAAGCAUACUAUUUUGCCCAAUCCGUAUCUUCUAAACUUACACGACAGAACAUAUACUAAAUGUUCUUCAAUAAACAGUUGUUAGAAUUGUGCCAUAACCCAAUUCGUUAUCUCCUAAAAGAAACAGUUCACUUGCGGGAGCUAUUUCCUUAUUUAUUUAUGAUAAAGACACACCACCAAUUGCCAUAUUAUUCCUUUAGCUCUUGACUCUUUUUAAAUAAAUGAACAUUGAAUAACCAAUAGUUAGGCUAUUUUAUAGUAGGCCACUUGUUUGUUUAACAAAACGAAAUAUGAAUGAACAAUUUGGGAAUAAAUUGUUACUGACAUGGCUAAGGCAGAUCUCACAAUUUCGAGUGCACAGUUUCAUUAGACGUUUUUAGGAGAAUAGCCUACAUUAGCCUACAUGUUGCCAUGUCUUGAAAACCAAUUGUAUCUAUUACAAUAUAGGCUAGGUGCAUAUUUUCAGAAAAACUAUCCCCAUGAAAGCGCAUUGGGUUCGCAGUUUUCAUGUAGAAUUAGAUAAGGAUGGAGCUCAUAUUCUCACAGUCUUACGGGAAAGGAGAGCGCCUGUGUUCGAUCUCUUUAUGCAGCUCCAUCCCUUUAGAAGCUUCAUACCCUAAAGCCUAACACAUUUUCAAAACCUAAUACAAUUAUAACGGUGUUUUUGUUCUUAUUAAGAAAAGGUUAUAACGGUUUACUGUUUUCAUUAUUAUUAUUAUGAUUUUUACAUAUUCCUUCUUUGUAACCAAAAUCAACUUGUGGGUGACUUUUUGUAAGGCUAAAAACAAGACGUGUUCCUAAGCAGAGGGAGAGAAAGACUAAAUGUUUUUUAAGGAGUCCGGGGGCUCCAUUUGGGGGGCUGUGACCAUAGCCUACCCAUCACCCUAUGACCGGGGUAAGAAUAUCAAUCCUCAAAAUGCUAAUUUUGCCCUUGUCCCUAAACAUAACCAAUGCAAUUUAUUCAAAGGAAAUUCACCAAUCCACAGCCUUAAUAAAAUGCUGGCCACUCAAUCUUGGGUCUGGGGACGGGCGGGGGUCCACUCCCCUCGGUCCCUAACUCGGGGUCACCCCGCUUUCAGGGUUCACCUGGAGUGCACCGUCAAACAUAUGUAAUUCAAAGCUAUUCUAUCUUUUGUGUGGAGAGUCAAGAUCGCUAUUAUAACGCUGGCAUCAGGCCCCGGAUGAACAGAUGAAGGAGACUUGUUCAGCGGGUAAACUUUUGACCCCAAUUUUUCCUCCUCUUCCCCGCUAUCUCGAGUUCAUCAGUCCCACCCCUGCGAGGCUGUGCUGCACAGGCGAGGUUUCUGGCUGCUCGGGACGAAAAAUGUAUUUGCUCUAUAUUCAUUUCUGUUAUCAUUACUGUAAUUAUUCUCAUGAAUAUUACAAUUAAUGGUAUCCUAUAGUAACAAUAAAGGCAGGCCUAUAACAGAAUAACUGUAGUUGUAUCUCCGUACUGUCUCACUGUGGGUUUUGGUUACAAUACACCGCUCUGCAUACCUCUAAUACAGUAUGUAAAUGAUAUUUCAGUAACAGGCCCGAGGGGUUGUGGUAUAUGGUCAAUAUGACACGGCUGAGGGCUGUUCUUACUCACGAAGCAACGCGGAGUGCCUGGUUACAGCCCUUAGCCGUGGUAUAUUGGCCAUAUACCACAAACCCCAUAGGUGCCUUAUUGCUAUUAUAAACUGGUUACCGACAUAAUUAGAGCAGUAAAAAUAAAUGUUUUGUCAUACCAGUGGUAUAUGGUCUGAUAUACCACGGCUGUCAGCCAAUCAGCAUUCAGUGCUCGAACCACCCAGUUUAUAAUGACAUUUUAGUCAUUUAGCAGGCCCUCUUAUCCAGAACACCUUACGUUAUUCAGUCGUUUGUAUCAAGCGAACCACUCAGGGAUGCAUGUGUGUCCUUCAUACUUGUGUGUGCCUCACAUCUACCUACUAUGCAGUACUGCUAAAAUGUACCACAGGCUAUCCAAAAAAAACCUAAUGUAAUAUGCAAAUGUUAUUUUUCCACUGCAAUGUGUAUUAAGGCAAGCAAACCGGUCAAGUAUAUGUGUGUCCUAUCCUACUAUCGUGUGUGUCUGUGUGUGUGUGUGUGUGUGUGUGUGUGUGUGUGUGUGUGUAUGUGUGUGUGUAUAUAUAUAUGUGUGUGUGUGUGUCUCCUCCUAUCAGAAUCUGGCUGCGGAUGACACUGAACUUGGCCUAAAGCGAGCUCUGCUGGUGGCUCCGGGAGGAUGCGGAUUUAUCUUUCUGCUAUGGCUGACCUCGCGGUGAACCGCGCGCUGGGGACGGUUCUUUUUCUCUGCCUGGCAUUGUCUGCCUUGCUGUGCAACGCAUAAAGGACCCGAUUUGGACAUUUUAAUUGUGUUACAAUGGUGUAAUUUUCUCCCCAGACGUCACAAUGAUAAUGGCAUAGAAUAAUGGUUUUACUUACAUUACCUACACCACAAACUGUAAUGGAAAUAAAGUUACAUUUUGUUGCAUUGGCUAUUUGUUUACACGACUUUGUGAUAUAUGUCAACUAUUAGGUUGCUGGGCGGUGAAGGGGUGGAUGGGAAAUAUGGAUGGGGUCAAACCACGUCAAAUCACCAGAUGAGUCAGUUUGAAUUCAGUCGAUGUGUUGAUAUAAAGUCCUUUGAAGAUAAUUUUUUUCAGAUGUAUUCAUUGAAUUUCAAUAAAGAUUUUGAGAUUA